rnacentral:rRNA from 1 species
UACGGAAGGCAGCAGUGGGGAAUAUUGCACAAUGGGCGCAAGCCUGAUGCAGCCAUGCCGCGUGUAUGAAAAAGGCCUUCGGGUUGUAAAGUACUUUCAGUCGUGAGGAAGGUGUUAAGGUUAAUAACCUUAGCAAUUGACGUUAGCGACAGAAGAAGCACCGGCUAACUCCGUGCCAGCAGCCGCGGUAAUACGGAGGGUGCGAGCGUUAAUCGGAAUUACUGGGCGUAAAGGGCACGCAGGCGGUUAAUUAAGUUGGAUGUGAAAUCCCCGGGCUUAACCUGGGAAUGGCAUUCAAGACUGGUUAGCUAGAGUCUUGUAGAGGGGGUUAGAAUUCCAUGUGUAGCGGUGAAAUGCGUAGAGAUGUGGAGGAAUACCGGUGGCGAAGGCGGCCCCUGGGACAAAGGACUGACGCUCAUGUGCGAAAGCGUGGGGAGC